GGGGACACCAGGGACACCGGGGACUCGGGACAAUGUCGCAACGUCCGCUCACUCCAACCCUCCUGUCUCCAUAUCCUCGUGCAUAUGGUGCAGUUCUGGUGUUUCUUUCCCACAUGCACAUAGGAGGUGUCACCCCACGGCCACGAGCAUCUGUGCUCAGCAGAACCAGAGGAUCCUCCCUCUGCGUUUCCCUUCCCUGGGGAACCCCUUCUGCCUGUUUCCGAGCAGCCCCAAGCCCCUCCACCCCACUCUUGCCCCAUCCCAGAGCCCCCAGAAGGAGCCAUGGUCCCAUGGUGUGCAGCUGCGGGUGCCGGGCUGUGCUGGGUCCCUGCAGUGCUCAGCUCCAGGAGGCAGCGCUGACCACGUGUGGGCCUGAGCCAGCCAAAGAUCCCAAAGCAAGGGGCUUUCCUCCCUCUCCUAUUCUGUUCUGAGUGCCAGAAUCUGCAGCCUGAAGCAAGGUGCAUGGUGCUGCACACAACAAGCAUCGUCCUGCCUUGUGAGGAGAGCCCAAGGGCUGGAAAGAAUGUGGCUGCUUUCAUCCUGUCCUGCUCUGGGCUGUGUGAGUAACACCACGAUGUGCCGGAUGGGCAAGCCUUACAAACCUUUCUGCUGAGUGCCGCUCUGGAAAUGUCUGACAGAGGCUGUUGGGGGAGAGGAAUCAGAAGGAUCCUGAGACGUGCAGCCACGGGGAGGGCACGAAGGCUGCUUGAAGGAGAGCUCUGCAGCAUACAGAGGGUUUGUGCUAGGGAAAUGGUGCAUGUGUCCUCGCAUCCUGGCACAACCCGCCACGUGAGCAGCGUCUGAGAAGCUCCCUCUUAACGGGGACAUCUGUUAUUUUUCUGGGAUUUAAUCAGAAAAAACCCAGGCGCGAAGCCUUGUGCGUAGGUGAGGGGAUGCUGUGCUGCGGUGACUCAGCGGGGACGUCUGUGACUUUUGAGAACAGAAAUGGUUUCAGAAGAAAUUGUGAAUGAUGGCUCACACAGGGGAGGCUGCGCUCUCAGUCGGUCCAAUUUUGGUUCCUCCUUAGGGCUGGCCUGUUAACAAAGAAGUUAUUAAUAACCAAUGAAGCCCGAGCUCGCGUCAUGCCUUCCUCUGGAAGUUUGGCAAUAGCCGCUAUGGUUCCUCCUUUAGCACCGUACCCAGCUCUGCUGUGGCUGAGAGGAUGUGUGCAAGAGCAGGGUUGGAUGCAGGCACCCAUGUGGGGCUGUAU
ensembl:lncRNA